rnacentral:rRNA from 1 species
CAGUCGACGAGAGGACAUGGGAAGCUUGCUUCCUAUGAAAUCGAGUGGCAAACGGGUGAGUAACGCGUAAACAACCUGCCCUUCGGAUGGGGAUAACAGCCGGAAACGGCUGCUAAUACCGAAUACGAUCUUUUCGUCGCAUGACGAAAAGAAGAAAGGAUGGCCUCUAUACAAAGCUAUCGCCGAAGGAGGGGUUUGCGUCUGAUUAGCUGGUUGGAGGGGUAACGGCCCAACAAGGCGAUGAUCAGUAGCCGGUCUGAGAGGAUGAACGGCCACAUUGGGACUGAGACACGGCCCAGACUCCUACGGGAGGCAGCAGUGGGGAAUCUUCCGCAAUGGACGAAAGUCUGACGGAGCAACGCCGCGUGAGUGAAGAAGGUCUUCGGAUUGUAAAGCUCUGUUAUACGGGACGAAAAAGACGGAUGCCAACAGUAUCCGUCCGUGACGGUACCGUAAGAGAAAGCCACGGCUAACUACGUGCCAGCAGCCGCGGUAAUACGUAGGUGGCAAGCGUUGUCCGGAAUUAUUGGGCGUAAAGGGCGCGCAGGCGGUUCGGUAAGUCUGUCUUAAAAGUGCGGGGCUUAACCCCGUGAGGGGACGGAAACUGUCGAACUUGAGUGUCGGAGAGGAAAGCGGAAUUCCUAGUGUAGCGGUGAAAUGCGUAGAUAUUAGGAGGAACACCGGUGGCGAAAGCGGCUUUCUGGACGACAACUGACGCUGAGGCGCGAAAGCGUGGGGAGCAAACAGG